AUGUCGUCGCUGCCCACGGCACCGGGGUUCCCCCCUCUCCGGUUGCGCCGGUACGCCGGGUUCUGGCUGACCGACCGCACGCUCAAGUUCCUCGGCGCGUCGCACGCGCGCUUCAGUCCGAGGCCCACCGACGUGUUACUCGUGAGCUUCCCCAAGACCGGUACCACCUGGCUCAAGGCGCUCGCCUUCUCCGCGCACCUGCCGUCCACCGGGGCCGACCACCCGCUCCAUCGCAACAACCCCCAUGACCUCGUCGGCUUCCUCGAGCUCGCUGGGGAAGACGAUGAUGGUCUGAUCUACGAGGGGAUCCCUUCUCCGCGUUUGCUUGCCGCCCACCUGCCCUACUCCCUGCUGCCCCACGGCAUCACGGACGGCUCCGGCGGCCGGAUCGUGUACGUCUGCCGGGACCCCAAGGACACGCUUUUCUCCUUCUGGCACUUCCACGAGAAAACCACGGCGACGCUGCAGCGGAUGGCCGACGACGGCGGCGCGUCGUCCGCCAUGCCGACGUUCGAGGAGGCGUUCGAGCUCUUCUGCAAGGGUCAGAGCAUGGCGGGGCCACAGUGGCGCCACGCGCUCGAGUACUGGGAGGCGAGCCGUCUGAGCCCCGAUCAGGUGCUGUUCCUCAGAUACGAGGACAUGCUGCGUGACCCGGAGGGAAGCCUGAGGAAGAUGGCGGUGUUCAUGGGGUGCCCCUUCUCUCCGGAGGAGGAGGAGACCGGGGUGGUGCGCGACAUCGUGGAGCUCUGCAGCUUGGGGAUGCUCAAGGGGCUUGAGGUCAACAGGAGCGGGCGCACGAUGCUGGGGCUCAAGAACGAGGCCUUCUUCAGGAACGGCACGGUGGGGGAUUGGAGCAGCUGCAUGACGCCGGCCAUGGCGGCGCGGCUGGACGGGAUCGUGGCCGAGGCGCUGGAGGGCUCCAUGCUUUUUUUUUUGAAAGAAAAGGUAGAUCAUGUUCUACCUUAUGCAUUCAAAACAGGCCGUAGCCUGAGUGACCAAUGA
rnacentral:rRNA from 1 species